GAUGAACGCUGGCGGCGUGCCUAAUACAUGCAAGUCGAACGCUUUGUGGUUCAACUGAUUUGAAGAGCUUGCUCAGAUAUGACGAUGGACAUUGCAAAGAGUGGCGAACGGGUGAGUAACACGUGGGAAACCUACCUCUUAGCAGGGGAUAACAUUUGGAAACAGAUGCUAAUACCGUAUAACAAUAGCAACCGCAUGGUUGCUACUUAAAAGAUGGUUCUGCUAUCACUAAGAGAUGGUCCCGCGGUGCAUUAGUUAGUUGGUGAGGUAAUGGCUCACCAAGACGAUGAUGCAUAGCCGAGUUGAGAGACUGAUCGGCCACAAUGGGACUGAGACACGGCCCAUACUCCUACGGGAGGCAGCAGUAGGGAAUCUUCCACAAUGGGCGAAAGCCUGAUGGAGCAACGCCGCGUGUGUGAUGAAGGGUUUCGGCUCGUAAAACACUGUUGUAAGAGAAGAAUGACAUUGAGAGUAACUGUUCAAUGUGUGACGGUAUCUUACCAGAAAGGAACGGCUAAAUACGUGCCAGCAGCCGCGGUAAU
rnacentral:rRNA from 1 species